rnacentral:lncRNA from 1 species
GGAACAUAGUUGGUAACAGCUCAAGUCUAUAUCUCUAGGAUGACCCAGUCUCCCUUAAAGUGAACUGUCCGAGAAAACUUAAAUCUGCCUGUUAUUGGUUGCUAUAACAAAAGUACCAUGGCCUUAUACAACACUUAUUUCUCACAUUUCUGCAGACUGGAAAGUCCACAAUAAAGCUGCCAGUCAGUUUGGUCUGUAAGGACCCACUUUCUGAUUUAUAGAGGGUGGUCUUCUUGCUGUGCCCUCACAUGGCAGAAGAGGCAAGAAAGCUCUCUGCGGUCUGUUUUUAUGAGGUCACUAAGGCCAUUUAUGAGUUCAUCAUUCAUGAUCUAAUCAACUCCCAAAGACUUCCUCUCCCAAUAUCAUCACAUUGGGGCUUAUGAUUUCAACAUACAACUUAUGUAAGUACACAGACAAUCUAUAGCAUGCCAAAAUAAUUUCCUGCUUGUCCCAGCCAAGACUUGAAGAUAGGGCUGCUGUCUCCCAACCUCUGUGGGAGGAUAGAAGCCCAACAUCAGCAAGUAUCAGUUAACAAACCAAAUGAGUUUCCCAGGAAAUUUCUCACAUCCCUGACCCUACUGAGCCCCCACUAACUCCCAUUUCUCCUUCCUCAAAUUCCCUUUGACAUUUUCCUCAACCUGGAUACAUCAAAGUUCAGUUCAUGAUGAACUCUUCCCUGUUUCGACAGUAUGUGACUAAUUAGAGCAUGUUCUUACCUCUUUAACUAGUUUGCCAUUUUGUCUGUCUUGACAGUUAUCUGGCCCUGGAACUAAAAUCCAGAUUGGAACCCCCAUCUGACCCUUGGACAAGACAAUCCUUCAUGCAUAGAAACCUUUGUCUCAUCUUCAGUUGACUUACUUUUUUGGGUAUUUGGUGGUAAUGUACAAUUUAGCCCAAAGGAGGCAGCAUCCUCCUGAGACGGGUGUCCCCCAGGCUUCCUUCUGGAAAUCUCCUCUAGACCGUAGCGGCCCCGUCUCUGUGGGAAACUCAUGGAGAACAUCGUCUCCUUGAUAUAUCAGGUUUUCUCCAUCACUGAGUUCGCAUGUGAAAUUGGGUCACUUCUUCUGAUAAGCAAGUACUUUCACCCUCAAUCUUGUGACCCUGAUGUCGGAGAAGCCAAUGGCCCAGAAUGCGGAAAAUGUGCUUGCUUUCUUCAGCUUCUAGACCUGAAAUUUACGGAUUUGGACUCAGGACCAGCUAUACCUGAGCCCCCGGCAUUCAACAUUUCCAUUAAGUGAAUUUCGAGGGCUGUACCAACUGGGGAAGGAGAAGUUGCCCACCUGCAUGAAAUGGAACCCAGGGUCUUGGGACUGACAAGAGGAAUGUCUGGGGACAACGAACCCUCACUCGGCCUUGGCGUGUUUCGCUUCUUUAGAAUUCCAGGUAUUUCACGAGGUCCCUGUUGGCUUGUCCAACAGCAAUUUCCCGUAUCUCAGGGUCCUCAGGCCCUUGU